AAGGCAGUCUUUCAACCAACUGAGCCACCCAGGAGAACUAUUAUCCCAGUCUCACAGAUGGGAGAAUGGAUUUCUGAAGAUGCUUAAUAAAUCUGUCCAAGAUUAUACAGUCAGUUGGAGAGGAACACAGCAUUUUUCUUGUUGCAAGAAUCUGAGUGACAGUUUCUGAGUUCCUUACAUGUCAGAGUUGAAACUGAAAGUCUGCAUACAUUUUUAAAUAAACUUUUUAUUUUAGAACAUUUAUAUAUACUUUUCAGAGUUCAUCUGUUAAUUCAAAACUAACAUGUGCCCUAGUAUCAAACAGACAUUUUUCAGAGUGUCCCUUUUUGGUUUUCUUUUCUCCCCCUGCCUUCUUUCUCUUCUCUCUCUCUUUGGUUUUUGUUGUUUGUUAUUUUGUUUGUUUAUAGAUAAGUUUCCUCCAAAGGAAAUGCUGUUAUCUGUCCUUGUUUCUUGCAUGUAUCUCAACUACAAUUUGGGAGAGACAUGAGGAUUUCCAUAAUGGUGUUGGGUCAACUGUUUUAUGCAUAUUUUUGUUUUUAAAUAGAGAACCUAAACCCA